GUAUGAUGUUGUAUCGAUCAGGUAGUGUAAGGGUUACGCCCGCUUCACAGUGACAGACCAAACUCCCCGUUUAAUGCACCGCAAACAACCGCAAACUCCCCAUUUGCACAAGGUUGGAUACCAAGCUAGCCAUGUCCCAUUCCUUGUCCUCACUGAUGUCAUUGAAGGUCUCUUCCUCCACCCAGCCACGUACAACACCAAGGGUCCCCAAAAGGUGACAACAAGCCCC